rnacentral:rRNA from 1 species
UACGUAGGGGGCAAGCGUUGUCCGGAUUCAUUGGGCGUAAAGAGCGUGUAGGCGGCCAGACAGGUCCGUUGUGAAAACUCGAGGCUCAACCUCGAGAUGUCGAUGGAAACCGUCUGGCUAGAGUCCGGAAGAGGAGUGUGGAAUUCCUGGUGUAGCGGUGAAAUGCGCAGAUAUCAGGAAGAACACCUAUGGCGAAGGCAGCACUCUGGGACGGUACUGACGCUGAGGAGCGAAAGCGUGGGGAGCAAACAGG